ensembl:lncRNA
UGUUUCUCAGAUCUGCAAGGAGGAGUAACAGGGGCCAACUUAUUGGAAUGAAAUGCAGAUUCCUUCCCGCUCAUGUGCAGUCUGAACCUGGCCUCUCUGGUUUAUACAGUGAUGAUAGUGAAGAGCAUGGUGUACUGCUGUGGGCUCUCUCUCCUGCUGCACCACAGGAACAUGGGGAAGUGGACACAACACCUGUAGAAAGGAUACUCCCCAGUAUGGAUAAAGAUGUAGUAGGCUGGGAAUAACAUGGAUUUUACAUCCUAUUGAGGUCUAACAUCUCAAUUGUUGGCCUAUUGCCUUAAUUUUUUCAACUUUAUUUUUCAAAUGCUAAAAUAUUGUGAGCCAUAGAUUUCCAUGUCUUCCGAUAACUUAAAUUGACAAUUAUGACAUUAAUUGCAGAACAUUUCAUGUAAAUUGUGUUUCAUUGCUUAAAAUAAAAAUGAAGCCUAAUACUGCAUUUUUGUAUAGCUGUGGGGGCUACCCACUGCAGACACUUGAAUAAAGGUUAGGUUAAGGUUGUCUGAAAAAUAAGCAAAGCAAAUCUUGAAGAUAGAUUCUUACGAUUCAAAUGUAGACUGUUUUAUGAAAGUUUCCCUUGAGUAUCUG